CCAAUCAGUCAUUGAAAUACCAAAGGCACCAAUCUCGUGUGAUCUUGAAAGGUAAGCAAGGUCAGCCCUUGUUAGUACUUCAAUGGGAGACCACCAACCAAUACUAGGUGCUGUCGGC
rnacentral:rRNA from 11 species